GAUGAACGCUAGCGGCAGGCCUAACACAUGCAAGUCGAGGGGUAGACAUCUUCGGAUGUUGAGACCGGCACACGGGUGCGUAACGCGUAUGCAAUCUACCUUAUACUAAGGGAUAGCCCAGAGAAAUUUGGAUUAAUACCUUAUGGUUAAUUGGAAAGGCAUCUUUCUAAUUAUAAAGAUUCAUUGGUAUAAGAUGAGCAUGAGUCCCAUUAGUUAGUUGGUAAGGUAACGGCUUACCAAGAGGAUGAUGGGUAGGGGUCCUGAGAGGGAGAUCCCCCCCACUGUUACGGAGACACGGACCAGACUCCUACGGGAGGCAGCAGUGAGGAAUAUUGGUCAAUGGGCGCAAGCCUGAACCAGCCAUGCCGCGUGCAGGAUGAAGCAUCUAUGGUGUGUAAACUGCUUUUGUACGGGAAGAAAAAACAUUACGUGUAAUGUACUGACGGUACCGUAAGAAUAAGGAUCGGCUAACUCCGUGCCAGCAGCCGCCGUAA
rnacentral:rRNA from 1 species